rnacentral:rRNA from 1 species
ACUACGGGAGGCAGCAGUGGGGAAUAUUGCACAAUGGGGGAAACCCUGAGGCAGCGACGCCGCGUGAGGGAAGAAGAGCCUCGGCGCGGAAAGCUCUGGCAGCAGGAACGAAAAUGACGGUACCUGAAGAAGAAGCCCCGGCUAACGACGUGCCAGCAGCCGCGGUAAUACGUAGGGGGCAAGCGUGAUCCGGAUUUCCUGGGUGUAAAGGGAGCGUAGCCGGCGGGGCAAGUCUGGAGUGAAAGGCUGGGGCCCAACCCCGGGACCGCUCUGGAAACUGCCCGGCUGGAGUGCGGGAGAGGUAAGCGGAAUUCCUAGUGUAGCGGUGAAAUGCGUAGAUAUUAGGUGGAACCCCAGCGGCGAAGGCGGCUUACUGGACCGUGACUGACGUUGAGGCUCGAAAGCGUGGGGAGCAAACAGGAUUAGCUACCCUAGUAGUC